CCGCCCUCUGGCCGCAUACUGGAUGAUGGUGAUGAGGGAGAGAAGGCUGAUCUGUUGUUUGCUGGCUUAACCCUUUGCAGGUUAUGGGAAAGGAGAAAGAUGGAUUCUUUGUUUUGUGGGGUUUAGGUGUUGAAACGGGAGCACUGUCGGUGUGUACUUGAGCAGAUACCAAGUUUUAUGGAAGAAAGAGAAAUUCUUCAUCUGACUCUGACUCCUGUUCUGGAACAACUUGCAAGCCUCUCAGUCUUACUUUCAUCAGCUCUGUUUUCCCUCACAAACCUAUCUUUUGUUUUGUGAAAAACAGGAAUGAGGAAGUGUUCCAGGCCAGGAGGAGCCAUCUCUGUGAUGUGCAGUUUGGUGUGCUUGCAGAUCUUGCUGUUAUCGGGGAGAGAACCUUUGUUCAGCAGACCUGUACUUGGUUCAGGCAAAUCCAACCGAAGAUUUCAGCUGCACUGUUGCCUUGCCUCCCUGAGUUUGCAGUUCCAUCCACACUGCUAUGGUAUACAAUAAUAAAUAAAAAUAGAUAGGUGGGUUACUUCUCUAGCUUACAGGAGCCUUCUUC
rnacentral:lncRNA from 1 species